rnacentral:rRNA from 1 species
GAUGAACGCUGGCGGCGUGCCUAAUACAUGCAAGUCGAGCGAACAGACGAGGAGCUUGCUCCUCUGACGUUAGCGGCGGACGGGCGAGUAACACGUGGAUAACCUACCUAUAAGACUGGGAUAACUUCGGGAAACCGGAGCUAAUACCGGAUAAUAUAUUGAACCGCAUGGUUCAAUAGUGAAAGACGGCUUUGCUGUCACUUAUAGAUGGAUCCGCGCCGCAUUAGCUAGUUGGUAAGGUAACGGCUUACCAAGGCAACGAUGCGUAGCCGACCUGAGAGGGGGAUCGGCCACACUGGAACUGAGACACGGUCCAGACUCCUACGGGAGGCAGCAGUGGGGAAUCUUCGGCAAUGGGCGAAAGCCUGACGCAGCAAUGCCGCGUGGGUGAUGAAGGCCUUCGGAUUGUAAAACCCUUUUAUUAGGAAAGAAAAGAUGUGGAUUAAAAUCCCGACGUCUUGACGGUACCCAAUAAAAAAGCACCGGCUAACUACGUG